UCGUCAGCUCGUGUCGUGAGAUGUUGGGUUAAGUCCCGCCACGAGCGCAACCCUUGUCACUAGUUGCUACGCAAGAGCACUUUAGUGAGACUAAAAAAAACAAAACGGAGGAAGGUGGGGACGACGUCAAAUCAUCAUGCCCCUUAUGACCUGGGCUACACACGUACUACAAAGGUCGUUAACAGAGGGAAGCAAUACCGCGAGGUGGAGCAAACCCCUAAAAACGAUCCCAGUUCAGAUUGUAGGCUGCAACUCGCCUAUAUGAAGUUGGAAUUGCUAGUAAUCGCGGAUCAGCAUGCCGCGGUGAAUACGUUCCCGGGCCUUGUACACACCGCCAGUCACACCAUGGGAGCCGGUAAUACCCGAAGUCAGUAGUCUAACCGCAAGGGGGACGCUGCCGAAGGUAGGUAAGGGCGACUGGGGUGAAGUCGUAACAAGGUAACCGUA
rnacentral:rRNA from 1 species